UCAAAGUUGUACAAAGCUAU
rnacentral:snRNA from 1 species